GCCCAUCGACCGACGCACUAGCAACACACGGAUAAUCUGCCGCUAGGUGGAGGAUAAUCUCGCGAGACUGAGAAUAAUAUUCCAUAGAUUUAGGAUGCUGGAAUGCACUUAAAUUAAAAGCUUCGGCGCCUAAGGAUGAGUCUGCGGACUAUCAGGUUGUAGUCAGGGUAACGACCUGACUAGCCUACGACGGAUACGGGUUGUGAGAGCAAUAACCCNGGAGAUGAUAUCUGAGACACGAUAUCAGGCCCUACGGGGCGCAGCAGGCACGAAAACUUCGCAAUGUGCGAAAGCACGACGAGGGAAUCCCAAGUGCUGGCUCGUUAGAGUCAGCUGUUUUUAUGUCUAAAAAGCAUAGAGAGUAAGGGCUGGGUAAGACGGGUGCCAGCCGCCGCGGUAA
rnacentral:rRNA from 1 species